GACGAACGCUGGCGGCGUGCUUAACACAUGCAAGUCGUACGGUAAGGCCCUUUCGGGGGUACACGAGUGGCGAACGGGUGAGUAACACGUGAGUAACCUGCCCACAACUUUGGGAUAACGCUAGGAAACUGGUGCUAAUACUGGAUAUGUGCUCCUGCUGCAUGGUGGGGGUUGGAAAGCUCCGGCGGUUGUGGAUGGACUCGCGGCCUAUCAGCUUGUUGGUGGGGUAGUGGCCUACCAAGGCGGCGACGGGUAGCCGGCCUGAGAGGGUGACCUGCCACAUUGGGACUGAGAUACGGCCCAGACUCCUACGGGAGGCAGCAGUGGGGAAUAUUGCACAAUGGGCGCAAGCCUGAUGCAGCAACGCCGCGUGCGGGAUGACGGCCUUCGGGUUGUAAACCGCUUUCAGCAGGGACGAAGCUUUUUGUGACGGUACCUGCAGAAGAAGCACCGGCUAACUACGUG
rnacentral:rRNA from 1 species